ensembl:lincRNA
AUACUAUCUGUUAUGUUCUAAAUGUUUAUUCCUCCCCCUCCCACAUUCGUAUAUUGAAAUCCUAACCUUCAAGGUGAUGGUAUUGAGAGAAGGUAGGUCCUCUGGGAGGUGAUUGAGUCAUGAGGGCAGAUUCCUCACGAAUGGAGUUAGGACCCUUAUAAAAGAUACCAGAGGAAGCUUAUUCACUCCUUCCACCAUGUGAGGACACAGCAAGAAGGCACCACCUAUGAAUCAGGAAAUGGGUCCUCACCAGGCAUUGAAUCUGCCAGUGCUUUGAUUUUAGAUUUCCAGCUUCCAGAAUUGCGAGAACUAAAUUUCUGUUGUUAAAAGUCACCCAGUGUAUGGUGUUUUGUUACAGCAGCCCAAAUAGACUAUGACAUGCUCCAACGUCACCUUCACUUACACACCUUGGAAUGUGUAGUGUGUUAGGGCUCCAGUGUCAAUUCUGAACUCACAGGGCAGAGGGGGGGAUUGCAGUGAGCACCUCUGACUUGCCUGUCAGUCAGCUGCCUCAGUUCAGAAUAGCUGUAAAAUUGGAGGUUUCUUCAUUCUGUUGUCAUCUCUCCUUGCUGCUCAAAGGUCCCAAGUCCUGUCUCCAGAAUAAACUCUUUAUUUGAUGCAAAGACACUGGGAGCUUGAGUGGUGCUGGCAGAUCUGUGAUUCAUGCAUAGGAGAAAAUGGCCAUCUUUCCCAGAUUUCCAUACUACUGGCAAAGAUCUCACUAAUUAGCCCUCAUAUAUUGACUUCCGUUUUCAUUUUUCUUCUUCGUAAGUACAUAGUUUUAAUUCUCCUAACUAAGCAAAUCUCAUAGAAGGAAGAAAAGUUGGUGUUUAUACAUCUUUAGUUGUUCGCAUGGCUUGUUCUAUAACAGACAUGAAAAGUUUUUGGAGAAGAUUAUUUUAAAUGUAAC